rnacentral:rRNA from 1 species
GUGAGGAAUAUUCCGCAAUGGGGGAAACCCUGACGGAGCAAUGCCGCGUGCAGGAUGAAGGCCCUCGGGUCGUAAACUGCUUUUAUAUGAGAAGAAUAUGACGGUAACAUAUGAAUAAGGGACGGCUAACUACGUGCCAGCAGCCGCGGUCAUACGUAGGUCCCAAGCGUUAUCCGGAGUGACUGGGCGUAAAGAGUUGCGUAGGCGGCUCGUUAAGCGUGAAAUGAAAUUUAUCGGCUCAACCGGUAAACUAUUUCGCGAACUGACGGGCUCGAGAGUAUGAGAGGUUACUGGAAUUUCUAGUGUAGCAGUGAAAUGCAUAGAUAUUAGAAAGAACACCAACGGCGUAGGCAGGUAACUGGCAUACAUCUGACGCUGAGGCACGAAAGCGUGGGGAGCGAACCGGAUUAGAUACCCUUGUAGUCC